rnacentral:rRNA from 1 species
ACUCCAGACUCCUACGGGAGGCAGCAGUGGGGAAUAUUGCACAAUGGGCGCAAGCCUGAUGCAGCCAUGCCGCGUGUAUGAAGAAGGCCUUCGGGUUGUAAAUUACUUUCAGCGGGGAGGAAGGGGUUAAGGUUAAUAACCUUAGCCAUUGACGUUACCCGCAGAAGAAGCACCGGCUAACUCCGUGCCAGCAGCCGCGGUAAUACGGAGGGUGCAAGCGUUAAUCGGAAUUACUGGGCGUAAAGCGCACGCAGGCGGUCUGUCAAGUCGGAUGUGAAAUCCCCGGGCUCAACCUGGGAACUGCAUUCGAAACUGGCAGGCUGGAGUCUUGUAGAGGGGGGUAGAAUUCCAGGUGUAGCGGUGAAAUGCGUAGAGAUCUGGAGGAAUACCGGUGGCGAAGGCGGCCCCCUGGACAAAGACUGACGCUCAGGUGCGAAAGCGUGGGGAGCAAACAGGAUUAGAUACCCCGGUAGAG